rnacentral:rRNA from 1 species
AUGGAUUCGACCCUGUCAUGCCUUCUUCCUCCUCCUCUUGCCGCGUCGCCGACCCGCCUGCGCCGAAACGGCGUGAGCGCUAGCAUGCCGGGGCGUCAAUGCAGGGCAUGGAGCAACGGCGCCGGGACGAGGAGGAAGAGGGGCGGCGGCAGGCUGCGCGUGGAGGCCCUGUUCGGCGACGGAGGAGGAGGAGAAGACGGGUUCCGGGCGGUGAUGAGGAUCGUGAAGCUCAACUCCGCCAUCCAGAACCGGAGCGUCCGGGAGCUGCUCGAGCUGAUCGCCGACGAGUGCCAGUAUUUCUUGAGGAACCUACCGACCGUCAAUGUUUCAGAGAUGAGCAAGAGCGUGUUCAUGUUUCUACACGAGAUGAUGCUCCGGCACCAGGUCUCGUUCGUGCUCAAGCCCGCGGAGAACGGAGCCUUCGACCUGGGCGUCAAGUGGUCGCUAGAAUGGAAGGGCCAGAAGCUGCCCUGGGACGUAGACUGCACUGUAUCCACGACCCACGUCUACACAGGCCUACUGCUCGUCAGCCAAGUGAACAAGGCAUGUGGGCCGCUCCUGCAGAGAAUUCUACAGAUGAUUUACCAGAAUCUGGAUGCGGUAGUUUUGAUCGUGGCAAACAAGUUCCUACCGGACGGCACGCUGGAUGAGGAGAGAAGCAACAUAAUUGUGUGUGUCAUCAUUGGCCUGGUGGUCAUGGUUCUGUUCUACGCCAUGUUUAACAACUUAUAG